CAUUACAGAGUGCCGAAGCCUCCGCUCGAGGUCCGGAUUCUCAUCCUUCGUAUACCUUCACCCCGUUGCUUUGGCGGAAACGCCAGAGGCCCUUCAACCCUCGAAUCUUUGCAGUCUGAGUACCACACAAAUUAGUCAAAACUUUCAACAACGGAUCUCUUGGUUCUGGCAUCGAUGAAGAACGCAGCGAAAUGCGAUAAGUAAUGUGAAUUGCAGAAUUCAGUGAAUCAUCGAAUCUUUGAACGCACAUUGCGCCCCUCGGUAUUCCGGGGGGCAUGCCUGUUCGAGCGUCAUUACAACCCUCAAGCUUCGCUUGGUGUUGGGCUCGCCUCCCCUCCGCGGGGGGGCCUGCCUCAAAAGCAGUGGCGGCGCACCGUCUAAGCUCCAGCGCAGUAAUGCUCGUCGCUGGAUGGAAGGANGGUGGCUUGCCCCAAAACCCCCGACCACCUCAGGUUGAC
rnacentral:rRNA from 1 species